rnacentral:rRNA from 1 species
AUUGAACGCUGGCGGCAUGCCUUACACAUGCAAGUCGAACGGCAGCACGGGAGCUUGCUCCUGGUGGCGAGUGGCGAACGGGUGAGUAAUGCAUCGGAACGUGCCCUGAAGUGGGGGAUAACGUAGCGAAAGUUACGCUAAUACCGCAUAUUCUGUGAGCAGGAAAGCAGGGGAUCUUCGGACCUUGCGCUUUUGGAGCGGCCGAUGUCGGAUUAGCUAGUUGGUGGGGUAAAGGCCCACCAAGGCGACGAUCCGUAGCGGGUCUGAGAGGAUGAUCCGCCACACUGGAACUGAGACACGGUCCAGACUCCUACGGGAGGCAGCAGUGGGGAAUUUUGCACAAUGGGCGCAAGCCUGAUGCAGCGACGCCGCGUGAGGGAUGACGGCCUGGUUGUAACUCUUUCAAUAGGACGAAGCGCAAGUGACGGUACCUAUAGAAGAAGGAACCGGCCGAACUAACGUGCCAGCAGCCGCGGUAA